rnacentral:misc_RNA from 1 species
UCCGGUUUGUCACCGGCAGUCUCAUUAGAGUGCCCAACUGAAUGUAGCAACUAAUGACAAGGGUUGCGCUCGUUGCGGGACUUAACCCAACAUCUCACGACACGAGCUGACGACAGCCAUGCAGCACCUGUGUUCCGAUUCUCUUUCGAGCACACCCGAAUCUCUUCAGGCUCUCGGACAUGUCAAGGGUAGGUAAGGUUUUUCGCGUUGCAUCGAAUUAAUCCACAUAAUCCACCGCUUGUGCGGGUCCCCGUCAAUUCCUUUGAGUUUUAAUCUUGCGACCGUACUCCCCAGGCGGUCUACUUCACGCGUGAGCUGCGUUACCAAGUUAAUUAAAACCCGACAACUAGUAGACAUCGUUUAGGGCGUGGACUAC